CGUUAAGUUGCAGGGUAUAGACCCGAAACCCGGUGAUCUAGCCAUGGGCAGGUUGAAGGUUGGGUAACACUAACUGGAGGACCGAACCGACUAAUGUUGAAAAAUUAGCGGAUGACCUGUGGCUGGGGGUGAAAGGCCAAUCAAACCGGGAGAUAGCUGGUUCUCCCCGAAAGCUAUUUAGGUAGCGCCUCGUGAAUUCAUCUCCGGGGGUAGAGCA
rnacentral:rRNA from 1 species